AGUCAGGUUCCACUGCGGACCCACUGAAUCAGAACCUACAAGAUCCCUGGGUGAUGUUUAUGCCAACUGGAAAAGCACUGGAGAGGGAGCGGCAGAGGGAGGAGGGAGGCAGAGGAAGAUUUGAACACACCCAGGAGGGAAAACCUUGGAAAGCACAGAGCAGACAGAGGUUUGAUGGUGCAUUCCUUGAAGACUGGAAUGAUGCAGAGGCAAGUUAAAGAACGCUAGCAGCCACAGGAAGAAGCUGGAAGAGCCAGAGCUCUCCAAAAGCCUAUCGAGGGGUUCAUGGCCCUGCCAAUACAUUAAUUUCAGCCCAGUAAAGCUGAUUUUUGACCUCCAGAACUGUGAGAGAAUGAAUUUUUGUUGGCUUAUGCCUCCAACUUAUUGAGAAUUUGUUGCGACAAAAAAAUGAAGAUAGCCAUCAUGUUUAACUUCAUGCCAGUUUGUGUGUCUUCUAAUUUCUAAUAAAGUUAUAAUUCCAUGUA